AGCCUGAACGCUGGCGGCGUGGCUAAGACAUGCAAGUCGUACGGGGUCCGCAAGGAUCCAGUGGCGAACGGGUGAGUAAAGUAUCGCUAACGUACCCCUAUGUCCGGGAUAGCUGGGGGAAACUCCAGGUAAUACCGGGUGACAUCACUUUCUCGCAUGAGAAGGUGCUCAAAGGGAAACCGCAAAGGGAGCGGGCGAUAUCGUAUCAGCUAGUUGGUGAGGUAACGGCUCACCAAGGCUAUGACGCGUAGCCGGACUGAGAGGUCGGACGGCCACAUUGGGACUGAGACACUGCCCAGACUCCUACGGGGGGCUGCAGUAACGAAUCUUCCGCAAUGCACGCAAGUGUGACGGAGCGACGCCGCGUGUGGGACGAAGGUCCUUCGGGAUGUAGACCACUGUCAGGGGUUACCAAGUUCUGAGGAACCCAGAGGAGGCACGGCUAACUCUGCGCCAGCAGCCGC
rnacentral:rRNA from 1 species